AAAUACGCGUGCGUGCGAGGGCUGCGACGAGGUGCGUCCUGCGCCAUACGGUCCGUGCAGAUGCGCGUUGGCAGGUGUGAACCGUGUAACUAUAUUUGUGUGCGUUGAAGAUUGUUUUGGAGGAAGCAAGAGGCUGCUGAGAACUCAGGCUAGGAGCAGCAAGGAGCCCAGGGAUAUGUCUCUGCUCUGCGAAACUCUCUGCAGAUAUGUUACAAAUAGUCAUGCUCUGUCUACUUUCUGUCCGUCUGGGCUGAUUUUCUCUCUCUUCUCCCUCACWCUGAGGGAUGCAACAGGRGAAAUGAGCGCUGCCAACAACAGAGAAGGAACGGGAGUGUGAUUCAUCUGAGCAGAGUAAGUGCUUGGUAUUGGGAGAAAGUCCUGUUCAAAGAGAAAUAAU
rnacentral:lncRNA from 1 species